AACGAACGCUGGCGGCAUGCCUAACACAUGCAAGUCGAACGAGACCUUCGGGUCUAGUGGCGCACGGGUGCGUAACGCGCGGGAACCUGCCUUUAGGUUCGGAAUAACUCCCCGAAAGGGGUGCUAAUACCGGAUAAUGUCUUCGGACCAAAGAUUUAUCGCCUUUGGAUGGGCCCGCGUUGGAUUAGCUAGUUGGUAGGGUAAAAGCCUACCAAGGCGACGAUCCAUAGCUGGUCUGAGAGGAUGAUCAGCCACACUGGGACUGAGACACGGCCCAGACUCCUACGGGAGGCAGCAGUGGGGAAUAUUGGACAAUGGGCGAAAGCCUGAUCCAGCAAUGCCGCGUGAGUGAUGAAGGCCUUAGGGUUGUAAAGCUCUUUUACCCGGGAUGAUAAUGACAGUACCGGGAGAAUAAGCUCCGGCUAACUCCGUG
rnacentral:rRNA from 1 species